ACGGGAGGCAGCAGUGGGGGAUAUUGCGCAAUGGGGGAAACCCUGACGCAGCAACGCCGCGUGAAGGAUGAAGGUCUUCGGAUUGUAAACUUCUUUUAUUAAGGACGAAGAAAGUGACGGUACUUAAUGAAUAAGCUCCGGCUAACUACGUGCCAGCAGCCGCGGUAAUACGUAGGGAGCAAGCGUUGUCCGGAUUUACUGGGUGUAAAGGGUGCGUAGGCGGCUUUGCAAGUCAGAUGUGAAAUCUAUGGGCUCAACCCAUAGCCUGCAUUUGAAACUGCAGAGCUUGAGUGAAGUAGAGGCAGGCGGAAUUCCCCGUGUAGCGGUGAAAUGCGUAGAGAUGGGGAGGAACACCAGUGGCGAAGGCGGCCUGCUGGGCUUUAACUGACGCUGAGGCACGAAAGCGUGGGUAGCAAACAGGAUUAGAUACCCUGGUA
rnacentral:rRNA from 1 species